rnacentral:sRNA from 1 species
AUACGCUGUUGUGCGCUUGGUUUCGGAGAUCGCGGCGAAUUCAACUCCUUCAGACGUCAACGAUGAAGUGCUUUGAGUGGCGUGCCUGUCUUCAAGGGAUGGGGGCUAGAGGGAAAACUCGAUGAACCACCAUGCGUGGCACAGUGUUCCAGCUCCUCACAACGGCUUAGCUCGCAGCUACGGAGCUGGAUAUCUUGGUGGCUCUCCUCCAGCCAAGCACGACAUUGAGAGUCCCUCCGGCUUAACUCUAGCUUUCUCAGCGCGGCUUUGGUCAGGCAAGUCUUUGGAUAUCUCAAUAAGACGCCGACGAGGAUCGAGAGCAAUUGGGUCGGUCGACCUUUUGCCUUUUCGAUGGAUUCUUCGAUGCUCUGUCGGAUGGCAGGUGUGAGCAUUGUGGCUGCUUUGUCCUACGUGGAUGCACCAGGCAUAUAGCAGGAAUCAGGGCAAUAGACCGGUUCUUCUACGUAUUUGACAAUGGGAGCAAUACUGAUUACUGAUCAUACGUGUGAUAUAUAUAUGAUAUGACGAUGCGAAGGGAGUACUCCGCACCGUCGUUUACUUCAGGACGGGAGUUGCCUCGAAGCGGCGUAGUCACAAUGAGAGAGAGCGCGCGCCUUGAGAGAUGAAAAGUAGC